UUUUUGGGUACAUUUGGUAAAAAAAAAUUUAGAUGAAACCACUCAAUUCGAUCCAUGUUCCUUAUUAAACAGUUUAAUUUCAUCUAAAUCUCUAAAUCUAAAUCUCCAAAAAUAUAAUCAGUGAUUGGUGCUCACUUUAUUUUAUCACUGCCCACUGCAGCUAAGUUUGGACAUCUGGGCGAGCUGAGCCUAGUUUAGCAUUCAGCGCAGUGACGCUAAUGCAGAAUAGUGUGUAUGAGUGUGAUGCAGCUCAAACCACCAGCUGCUUCUGUUCAUUUCCUCUUCUUGUGUUGUGGUUGACGCACAAUGAGAGCUCCUGCUGGAGACAAUACAGACAGGCUGGAGGUUGAGACAACACAUGGUUGAGUUCUCUGAGGGUUAGAUCAACUCAAAACCGAAUAAAGAGCACAGAGCCGCAGGCCGCUUCGACUCAACUCCUCCAGUUGGUUUCUGAUCAGUGGAGGAUGGACUUUAUCAAGCUGUUCGUCAGAAAACACAGGUAUGGCUGUUUUAAUUUGUAAUAGAGCAUUAAAUGUGAAUGUAUGAGCUUAAUGUGGCUCUUCCUGUGUGUUCUUAUUAUUGUGGGCUUCUGCUUUGACAGAAACAGCCGUAGCUCUGUUCUCACACCAGACUUCUAAAACAUUAUUAUUUAUCUUCCUCAUGUAAGCAAUACAUUUAAAGAAAGACCCAUAUGUUUGAUUUGUGAUUAAACAUUAAUGUCAGCCUUUGUUUGGAUCACUGAUUUCAAAUACUACAAUAUCACCUUACAGACUGAGGUGAUAUUGUGACUCGUGCUGAGCAGACAACACAAUGAGUAGUAACACCACCAAAGGAAUGUGUCAAGGUGAGCCCCUGAACCUGCUUGUCUACAUCCUCAUUGGGGCCCUCGCAUUCACCAUCCUGGUGUUCACACUGCUGGGGAUCGUGUGUCUCAGAAAGUAAGAGAGGCUGAAAUGAUUUCACAAGUAAUUAACUAUACGAUCUGUCCUCAGAGUCAUUUG
rnacentral:lncRNA from 15 species